GUGCACCAGUCGAGAAUAGUCUACAAUGGACGAAAGUCUGAUAGUGCGACGCCGUGUGUGCGAUUAAUUCCUUCGGGAUGUAAAGCACUUUUCUAUGAGAUAAAAGCUCUUUAGGUUAAUAGCUUAUUGAGACGGAUAUUAUUAUAGGAAUAAGCUCCGGCUAACUCCGUGCCAGCAGCCGCGGUAAUACGGAAGGAGCGAGCGUUGUCCGGAUUUACUAGGCGUAAAGGGCUAGUAGGCGACUAAUUAAGUUAUAUGUUAAAUCCCACGGCUCAACUGUGGUCCUGCAUGUAAUACUGGUUAGAUAGAGUACUGUAGAGGAAGGCAGAAUUCCUGGAGUAGCGGUGGAAUGCGCAGGUAUCAGGAAGAAUACCAAAAGCGAAGGCAGCCUUCUGGGCAGUUACUGACGCUGAAUAGCGAAGGUGUGGUAGCGAACAGGAUU
rnacentral:rRNA from 1 species